CAAUCUUGGUAGGAAAUAUUCAAAGUUUUUGAUCUUUUCUUGAAAUGCAAGAUAUUGAAAAUGUAAUGUAGUGGAAAAACACAAUUGACUGCCUAACAGAUAUAGUCGACUAGAAAAUAAAGAGUGUAGGGAUCAGAAAAUUCAAACACUGUGUUUAUACUGGUUUUGCCAACAAUGCCUACAUCUAGUGUCCUUCCAACCUAGGAAGCAAAUGCACUAUAAUGGUUGCGGUUUUUACAACAAGGAA
rnacentral:lncRNA from 1 species